CGAGCAGCGACGAACGAGGAUGCGCUCGAGCGCGUAGCCUGUGCCGCACUCUCAGUUUAUCCCCACUACCAACUAUGAUCGGCAUCCGGUGGUAACUGAGGCGCGCAUUCGCAAGCAUUUCUGCUCGCUGAUUGGUGCAUAGCCGUUGCUACUUGGCCUGCCAUUGGUCGAUUGCACACCACGAAUUCCCGCGGCGUUCACUAUCCAUGGGACACACAACACACACGUAGGAAGCACACGAGGCCACUCUCGAUCUUACACGAACGAUAUUCAGCGAGGACACCGCGCACACGACUAUCCACGUACACAUACACAAACACACACAACUGUACAUGUUUGUAUAUUGUACACACGUGCAUGUAUAUUACUACUUGCGAGCUUUUGUACGCACACGUAUAGACGGCACCGACGUAUUUUUGCGUGCGCAUGUAUUGGAAGAUUCCGCACGCCCGCGCUUCGCUACGGUCGUAUGAUGGUCGAACAGGAACUGGCUACAAGCCGCGCGGAAACGCGCUACUUAUGCUGCCGAUGGGAAGAAAACCGACGAAUCAAGGCAGUCUUUAUACCCGCCGCCUUUGGACUCCAUGCUACAGGUCCAAAAGGCCAUCGUGUAGUAUACGCUUCUCAAACGUGAAUACGGAGAUGGACGUCAGCCAAUCCCUUUUCCUGCUAUGCGCAAAAUCAUGAAAAAUAUUUAGCCUAAUAGCGUCUAUGCGAAUUUGUCUUUUUUCCUUACCAGUGUUCGCUCGAGGAUGUUCCAAUAACCAGGUUACCGCGUUUUGCUAUUACUACUUACGCUGAAAACACCGUCGAACCUUUGACCCAUUUUUCUAUCGAUCUUCCAUGUUUCGCAUAUAGGGCACACCGUAAUGGCCUCCGAUCAUCAAAGAUUCGCUCCUCCAGAGAUCUACGUAACCAUUAGACGCACGCACGAUCGUUGAUGUUACGUAACGCGCGAUAUUCCUUAAAACGACUGGAAUUAUGUAAAUAAUGUAAUGUUUUUUCUCUUCGUUUGAAACACAACAAAUCGACAAUUAAAAACAUAAAAGCGUAAUAUCGUUAUACGAAUGCAAAAGUCGAUGAUCACAUAUUAUCCGAGAACACGAGAAAUCGGAGAAAAUAAAAAUUUGCCAAUUGACGUUAGCAAGUGCAAAGAAGAGAAGAUUAGACAUUGAGUUAAAAAUUGAGUCGAUCUUUACUAUCCAAACAUUAAAUGCGAGAGAACGGUGCUACGCGAAUAGCGGUUAGUCGAUUAACGAAACUCGCGCGCACAGGGAAGAGGAAGGGGUGGUGGCUCGGUAGAACAUUGGAACUCGACUUGGUCGUCCUAUUUCUACGCUCGGGAAGGUUCGUGCCGCGAACCGAUCGCGCACGAAGCAACGGGGAUAUAAGUAGGUCGUUUCAAGCGCACGUGUCGUCCUUGACUCACAUAGCAUGGCGCGCAGGCGCUCACCGUUGCCGCAUUGCUGGUCGCUAGGGCUUUUUCUUUGUUCGUCGAGCGCGCGUGUGUUCGCGCGGAACACCAAGACGCGCUCUCUUAUGAAUACACCGUGUGCGUGACUAUUGCUCACACGCACUACUCUAUGCACUCUGCAAAAUGAGCCAGCGGCUUCACGUCAUCUAUCUAUCGCGUCCAAUUUUCUCUACUAUGCUUUUACCACAUGAAUUUAUUUGUUUCGAUUAAUUAUUUCCAGAAGCUCUUACCUUUUUAUACGUUAACUCGUUUGAAAAAGGGACGUUAACCAACAGUGCAGCGACUGAGAUAGGUACGUUAAAACGUUCGAUUCUUUCUUUGCAUCGUUUCUUUAGCGAGACUGUUCGUAUACAAAAUUUAUUUCCUCUUACGUAACGCGGCGAUAGAAGGUUCAAGAAAGUGUCACGAUAGAGCACGUAAAGGAUUCUGUGGAUGGACGAGCGAUAUAGUGCGAGGUCGAGACAAUGGUAAGGCGGCGCGUUGUGCAACUUUCAAGGAGAAUGAGCAGCACGCGUGUCAUGCGUUCCUGCGUGUUCGUGGACGCAUAUGCGCACGCUCGAUGAUAAUCGACAGAAAGAGAAAGGUCAUCGGGGGAAUGGAGUUUCGCUUCCUCUUCCUCGUUGCGAUUACGAGUAGGUAAGCGGGUAUCCGAAAUUGCGGAGAGUGACGCAACGCGCAGCUGUAUGUAUAAAUUCACGUACAUACGAGCAUUCACGGACACGUAGUGCUUGCGAGUGUGUACAUUUACGUGCGUGUACAUACGUAGAUAAAGUACUGGAUAUGCCGGCGGAAGCACGGUACUGCACGACAACGAACUACGUUUUUCAUGCAAUUAAGAAUUCGUCCAGCAGCUGCUUUCGUUUAAAUUAAAAUAUUCGAUAGCUUUUAUCGCAUUAUAGGUUCAAAAAAUAGAUCGCCUCUGGGAAAUAAAGGCAUUACAUAUAUAUAAGAAUUCGCUAUAGGUCUUUCGAUUCUUCGUAUAUGAAAUUUCAAUGAAAUUCGAUCCGAAUGGGAUAUGUAACUUGCAUUAUUAACGCUGCGUUAAUCGAUACGAUCAUUUUUUCUUCGAAAUUGCAUAACCGUGCGGCGAUUACAAGGAAUUCUAGCACAUUCUGUGGUAAGUUGGUAUGUAUCGCGCGGUUGAUGGGAGAGCAGACUUCGUGAUUCGCUGUAUAGCCAAGGACAGUGACGCUUCACGAUGAGACCUGUGUGAGAAGUCGGUAGUCCGCGUUAGCUUUGGCAUCGUGGGUAUUGAUCGCAACGGGAACUCAAAGGGGAGGACACCACGUUAGGCUAUUCGAACCCCAAUUGGAUCGACCUAUCUCGUGGUAGGGAACGAAGGGGAGGGUGGUUGCAUCGUGGUCUAUGUCAACCAAACACUUAUAUUUUAAUUCCGUUCUUAUACGUGGAAAUUAUCGAGUGUUGGUUUACUCGUGUACGACCGAAUCGCGACGCAUUCUUGUCAGAUGUAUUUUUGGCGUGCGCGUUUCGCAGAAAUUUAUCGAGGAUUUCAGUGCGAUGAUUGCCGUUACUUACAAAGACCUUGGGCGUUCAUUUUUCUCAACGGGGAAAUAAACGAUAGCAGUGACCCAAAUUUUUUCAACAAACGACCGGGUUUGUGUAAUUUCUGCCGACACUUUUCGCCGCGUUAUGGAAAUAAUUAGCGCGAGAGACGCGAAGAAUUCACGACCUCCGCUUGAUAAACGCUGGACACGCCAUCGUGCGUGGCUAUUACGCAACACGAUUCUUUAAUAACAAUACAUCGUCUCUACAAUGAAGCAAUUAUGAUGAAGUAAAUGCGAGGAGAAACAAAUUAGGAAUUAUAUACAUCUGAUAAAUAUGUACGUUGUGUAUGUAUGCUGUGAUCUACCUACGCGGAGGAUGUUCGAAUGUUACUGACAAAUAUCUAUCGUGUGUAUAACCUCUGUGAAUAACCUAUGUUAAAGAAAGAAAAUUGUCUCGGUCGAUGAAUUAGGCAACUAUAACUCGAGAGAAUAUCCAAUACGGUUCCGAGAUACUCUACAAAUUAAUUUUUUUCGAGGAGUUUACAUUUUCGACGAAUUACUGACGAUGAAACGCAAAUAAAAAUAUACUUAUGAGCGGGAGACAUGCGCGAAAUAGUUCGCCAUUUACAACGGCCAAUAAAGUUCGGAGAAGUCGCGUCGCGGUGUACCGAUCCGAUUUAACGCACAUACUUUUCUGUUGUUAGAGGUAGCUCGCAUGCCAACGUUCUUCAGAUAAGCACAUUCUUAUCUGCGUACGUACUUACGUAAGCAACGCCUCGUAUAAACCUUUGCUUGGCUUCGCGCCCCUUUUUCUUCUUCCGUCCUCUCCCUGCAUUUGCAACUUUUUCUCCUUCGUUUCUCUCGCGUUUUGUUUCUUUCUGCUUUCCCUCUUUCGCGUUCCCUUUCACCCUACACGUUUCAAUCUUCUUCUUCGGUACACUUCACUUCAGAAUAGUAUUUCACUGUGAAACGUAGCUCCUUCUCCCACGAUUUCUUUCCACUGCUUCCUUUCUUUCGAAUAUUUUCCUCCAUUUUUCUCUCUCGUGACAGUCGAUCGUUCGCGAAAGUACGCGUUACGUCUUUGACAAGUUCAUUACUUUAAAAGAGGUUAGGAAUCGAAUCGGUUCCGAGCUCGGAAGAUUUAGAUAGCGAAGGUUUGGUUAGUGUAUUCUGAUGCGGAAUAGUCACGUGGACUGACGCGUGCUGGAAACAGCCAGAAGAUGCGAAAGGCGUGUUCUUAUCGAAACGCUAAACUGCAUCUUUUCAUGCACAAUUGCGUCAUGAUUCAUACUGUCGUUAAAAAUGUAAAAUGUUUCACGAUGGCGAUCGUAGUUCCCUUCGUUCGUAUUACUCGUGGUUAGAUAGGUUACACGUAGUAUUGCAAAUAUCGUUAACUUCGAAUCCAAUCGAAAAUUUCGAAAAAUACGAAUAUUAUAGAAGCGAAAGGAUGCAAUUUCGUCGAAUGAAACGACGUGUUAUCGCGCAUGAUAUCGAUUGACCCGUUCUAACUGCAAUAUUCUGACGCGUAAAAUGGUCGUUGCGAAAGACAGAAGGGUAACCGAGCAGAUGGUCGGAAUGGCUCGUCGCACGAUCUCGCCGUUAUCGGUGGAUUGGAAAUGAACCACGCGCAAGUAAAUACAAGUUGGAAAGUGACGAUCGUUGCUGAUUUAUCAGCGGAACGCCGCGCAUUCGAGGAAGCCGAGGUAAAUCGACGAAUGAACCUUGGGGCUCUUGUUACUUGCUUCGUUCCUUUGUUACACAACCGGCUCUCUCGCCAACUCGGCCAACUAUCGACCCCACCAACUUUGUUCUCGCUCUGCUCCCCUUUUCUUCCGUCUUCUAGUGCUCUCUCUUUCUCUCUCUCCGUCUCUUUGUCUCUUUCUCUCUCUCUCUCUCUCUCUCUUCCUCUUUCUUGGGUGAACACUCGCUCUUUUCUCUCUCGUGCUCCCCUCAGUCUCUUUUAUUCCAACCCCAUCUUUCUAUUCCUUCCUUCCUUUUUUGACAACCUCCAUCCUCCGUCCUUUCUGUUGUCUGUCCUUUCUCUCUGAACCUAUUCCCCUGUGUCACGUACUCACUGUCAAAGUUAGGCGUUAUUGAAAGAAACUGGCGUACGGACAAUUAUGAAAAUAAAGCUUGCGCUUAAUAGAAUAUUUGGUGUCCUUCGAUCGAUCAUCUCUAGGAUCAAACGAUGCAUAGGAAAAAUGAGAAUUUUCUAUUGAAAUUUCAUUCGUUCAAGUGGAGCGCCGUUUUGAGGUCAGUGUGACAAAGGAGAUAUCAAGAUCGUGUUCUCUUUUCAAGAUCGUCUGUAUAUUUUUAAAUACAUAAAUGCUAUCUUUAAAUACAUGAAUGUUUAAUUUUCUGGCACUCGGAUUGAAGAAAAGCCAAGACUAAAAAAAGUGUGUUCCGCAGUGCGGCUGUCGUAUCCCACGAAAUUUGUCAACCUUUGUACGUACGUACAACAUAGCUUGGACGCUAUAGCAGGAGCGCGAACAGUUCGAUUAUUAAAUUAUUUGAAUACUCGUUAUCUUGGUUAGCGUGUACUCGUUACGUGGUUGGACAGUGACAUGAAAUACGACAUUUUUCUGUCUCGUUGCGACAUUACCACGAUAAGUGGAAGUUUUUAAAUCCGAGAACGAAGAUACAUUCGUCUCCGUUAUUCUGGCAACCAAAGCGUAAUUUGUAAUUAGCGCGUAACAGCGGCAACACGUUUAACGUUACAUUUCCACUUCUCUAUGGAAAUUCCAAUUUUCAUUGAUCGUCCGAUUUACUCGAAUAUUUGCCUGAGACGCGAGAUAUAAAAAAUCCCACAUGCUUAUAUAGAAUUCUGUGUUCUUCGUUCGCCCUGAAAAAUUCCAUUCUUUUUCGCGAUUCGCUCCAGCUUCCCCUUCGCCAACCCUCUGCAUCUUGCGCGUCUCUACCCUCGCUAUCUAUUUCCGUCUCUCUCCAUCGAGUUUCUUCUUUACGAUUUCGUCAAGUUGCCACCCAUUCUUCCCGAAUUUUCUUCGUUGGCCUCGAACAUGUCUUUCCCCCUAGGUCGGCUUUUCUGUCCCUCACGGUAAUCUACGUCCGUCUUUUUUUCGUGAGCGUCUGACGGACCCAAGGGACGCGUGGUGGGGGGCCACGUGCUCCCGGUACCUAGUCACGCGAGGAUAGGACACGUGGUACGUACGUAUGUCCGUUCGGAUGCAUAGGCGUGGAAACGUGUUCUUUGUUGGAGCCGCGCAGCCGCCUCGUCUCGCCUAAGUACACGCGUAUAUACGUACACGUAUCUAGAUCACGUGGGAUUUUCCACGAAAGUUGAUGCAGUCGGAACGCGACAGCCGAAAAACACGUCGAUGCUUAAAUGUCGCAUUGCGAAAAAAAGGAGCAUGAGAUGGUGCUAGCACACUGCUGCCUGGGCUACGUACUUCGAUUGUACGAUCUCGCGUGCCCAAUGCUUAAGCUUGAAUUUUCAAAGAAGAAGAAUACGUUUUACGGGAAUUAUGAGAUAUUCUCGGUAGCUUUUAAGGCUACCAGGAAGAAGCAAGUUUCUAAACAUUUGCAAUCCGAUAUCAAUUUUUUCUACAGAUAUGUACAUUUCGUACCAGAUAGAUCGUCACAUGCUCUUGAAUGUGUCACCUUUUAUCUUAUCACGGGCAACACGUGUAUGAGUAUAAAAGCAAAUGUUGUAGUUUUAUUCGUGCGUGCGAUCGGUUUACACGUGCGUCAGCUACGAAAAGAACGUUCUACGCGGUUAUCACUUUCAUCGUUUCCUGCUUUGCCAUUAUACGUUCGAAACAUCGAUGCAGCUUAGCGUGCAGCUUAAGCUCUUCAAAAUCUGAUGAAAAUCUUUCUAUGUUAUUUCGAACGUCGCUGCAAGACUCGAUCCUGCAGGAGCUUGGAAAAAGAGUAAACUAUAUGAAAAAAGAAGAAAAAAGGGAAUAGUAAAAAAGAGCGACGAUAGAAUUCUAGUACUCGAUUGUUAAUCGAGUGGUUGGUUGUCGGCCGUGCACAGCGGCUGGCUGGCCAGCUGCACUUGACUCUCCUAUGCAAGAUAAAUAGGUGCGGCUGGUUCCUAUUAAUAGCGGGUGGUUUACGCGGCGAUUGCAGUGUACGGGCUUACAAUUAGCGUAACUCGCCAGCGGUUCGCAUUAGAUUAAAAAUCAUUCGUGCUGUAAAUUCUAUCCACUUAUGUAAUGAUAUCCGUGCAAGUAUAAAAGAGUUAGCGAACAUCUUGCUACACAGUCCGUUCACUCGUCCACUGGUUACGGUACGGAGGAAAAACCGUGAAACGUUGAAACGCAGUGGCAGCGCUUUCGAAACGAUAAUUUACGACGAUGGGUGGUAACUCGAGGACCUAUAAAAUCUCGCUAAAAUUCUAAAACUGGUCCCUAAACACCUGUUUUCUAUCUCUGACACUCGAUCUCUGUUUCGUAAAUGUCGAUGCUCGUUCGGCUGACGAUCGAACACUGUGUCAGGAAGUAAGUUGUCCGUGUUGUUUCUAUGUAUAAAACGUAUGGCGAAAUUCAGCGCGUUAAACGGAGGCACGAAAAGCGGAUAAAAGGCGGCCGAGGAAAAAGAGAGAGGGACGGGAUUAAAGGCGAAGCAUCGAGUACGUGAUAAUGUGCGUUUGCUCGAUAAAUCUCUAAUCGAUAUACGUGUUUCGUAUGUGCAUUGUACUAUUCGAGCUUGAACUAGGCAAAGAGCAGAAUGUAGGCGAGAAACGAGGAGGAGGUGUGGAGGUGGGGAUCAAACAAAAUCCGGUAUAGGCGGGCAACGACCUUUAGGCACGUGCCCCGUGCCACGUGCUGCAUUCGACAAACUGUCGAACGGCCUUUUGCCUUUUUUAUCUCUGUUCGUUUCUGUUUUCACCUCGUUUCGCUUAAAAUUUUCGUCUGGCUCCGUGUUAUCUCGACCGCGUCGCGAUUUCCUUUUAUCGACCGUACCGUAAUACGAAACAGGACCGGUCCAGAUACUGGCAUUCGCUAUUUAUGGCCGUGUCAGUAUCGAAGAAAGAGGUUGAAACUGCGUCCGGAGUCUGUAAAUAGUCAACUCUGACAAUCUCCUUGCCUCUUGUUCCCCCCUCCCCCUCUGUUCCUCUCUUUCGUACGCAAUACUAUCGCGUACUAUUUCUGCACUGCUCUUUGUUGUGAUAGAAGAGAAAACGAAGGAAAAACGAUAACCGAGAACGUAGAAGCGGAAAAAUUUGUCUUGCGAUAGGUCGAACGUAAUUGGCGUAAUCGAGUCGUGCGAUCGUAAGAUCGUUGCCAAUCGAAAAACUGCCGAUACUCUGCUCUUCGUUCGUAGUAUACGCGUACAGCAAACUUACGAAGGCUUACGAAGAUACUACGGCAAGUGCAGUGUUAUUAAUUAUCGCAAGUUAUUAGCAAUAAGCGCGAUUAAUCAUGGUUUUCAGGCUUUUUCACGGUUUCUUUGCUUUUGCUUUUAUGGUCAGCCUUUUAUGGCCCGUUUAUUCCGUGCAACGCGGAUCAAAGGAUCGACGAUAUCUCAGCUACUCGGAAAUCGCUUUCAAUUUAAAAUAUGGAGAAUGUUAUCGUUUAACGAGCGCUAGACGUGCAUGGUAAAUUGCAGACGAUGAAACUAGUUCUCAAGUUUUUCAUAUCGUUAUCUUUAUGUACUGGCGGAUUAUAUGGGCGUGAGUUGCGUGAAAGAUAAUAGCUCAUUUUCCAAUCUCGCGAUGCGAUAAAAGAUACAAGCAAUUAACAUUACAUAAUUACACGUGGAGAGGGAUUAAUUCAUAGGUGUAAUAUUUCUCUACGCUCGGUUUUCCAUCUAUCAAACACGUUUCCAACCUACGUAAAUAACAAUGGAAACGAACGAAGCUAAGAAAAAUCCUCCUACCAAGGCAAGUUUGUUUUCGAAAUUUAAAAAUAAGCGCAAAAGGAAAAAAAAAAGAAACAAAUACGUUACGUAGAACGAUAUCGCGAUUUAGCCGGAGACGCGCAAUUAUUUGAUAUCGUUGAUAAAAUAAACGUAAGAUUAAUCCUUUCCUAU